GGGUUGUGAGGUUAAGCGACUAAGCGUACACGGUGGAUGCCCUGGCAGUCAGAGGCGAUGAAGGACGUGCUAAUCUGCGAAAAGCGUCGGUAAGGUGAUAUGAACCGUUAUAACCGGCGAUGUCCGAAUGGGGAAACCCAGUGCAAUUCGUUGCACUAUCGUUAACUGAAUACAUAGGUUAACGAGGCGAACCGGGGGAACUGAAACAUCUAAGUACCCCGAGGAAAAGAAAUCAACCGAGAUUCCCCCAGUAGCGGCGAGCGAACGGGGAGCAGCCCAGAGUCUGAAUCAGCUUGUGUGUUAGUGGAACGGUCUGGAAAGUCCGACGGUACAGGGUGAUAGUCCCGUACACCAAAAUGCACAGGUUGUGAACUCGAAGAGUAGGGCGGGACACGUGGUAUCCUGUCUGAAUAUGGGGGGACCAUCCUCCAAGGCUAAAUACUCCUGACUGACCGAUAGUGAACCAGUACCGUGAGGGAAAGGCGAAAAGAACCCCGGCGAGGGGAGUGAAAAAGAACCUGAAACCGUGUACGUACAAGCAGUGGGAGCACCUUCGGGUGUGACUGCGUACCUUUUGUAUAAUGGGUCAGCGACUUAUAUUCUGUAGCAAGGUUAACCGUAUAGGGGAGCCGCAGGGAAACCGAGUCUUAACUGGGCGUUAAGUUGCAGGGUAUAGACCCGAAACCCGGUGAUCUAGCCAUGAGCAGGUUGAAGGUUGGGUAACACUAACUGGAGGACCGAACCGACUAAUGUUGAAAAAUUAGCGGAUGACUUGUGGCUGGGGGUGAAAGGCCAAUCAAACCGGGAGAUAGCUGGUUCUCCCCGAAAGCUAUUUAGGUAGCGCCUCGUGAAUUCAUCUUCGGGGGUAGAGCACUGUUUCGGCUAGGGGGUCAUCCCGACUUACCAACCCGAUGCAAACUACGAAUACCGAAGAAUGUUAUCACGGGAGACACACGGCGGGUGCUAACGUCCGUCGUGAAGAGGGAAACAACCCAGACCGCCAGCUAAGGUCCCAAAGUCAUGGUUAAGUGGGAAACGAUGUGGGAAGGCACAGACAGCCAGGAUGUUGGCUUAGAAGCAGCCAUCAUUUAAAGAAAGCGUAAUAGCUCACUGGUCGAGUCGGCCUGCGCGGAAGAUGUAACGGGGCUAAACCAUGCACCGAAGCUGCGGCAGCGACACUAUGUGUUGUUGGGUAGGGGAGCGUUCUGUAAGCCUGCGAAGGUGGCCUGUGAGGGUUGCUGGAGGUAUCAGAAGUGCGAAUGCUGACAUAAGUAACGAUAAAGCGGGUGAAAAGCCCGCUCGCCGGAAGACCAAGGGUUCCUGUCCAACGUUAAUCGGGGCAGGGUGAGUCGACCCCUAAGGCGAGGCCGAAAGGCGUAGUCGAUGGGAAACAGGUUAAUAUUCCUGUACUUGGUGUUACUGCGAAGGGGGGACGGAGAAGGCUAUGUUAGCCGGGCGACGGUUGUCCCGGUUUAAGCAUGUAGGCUGAUUGUCCAGGCAAAUCCGGAUAAUCAAGGCUGAGGUGUGAUGACGAGGCACUACGGUGCUGAAGUAACAAAUGCCCUGCUUCCAGGAAAAGCCUCUAAGCAUCAGGUAACAUUAAAUCGUACCCCAAACCGACACAGGUGGUCAGGUAGAGAAUACCAAGGCGCUUGAGAGAACUCGGGUGAAGGAACUAGGCAAAAUGGUGCCGUAACUUCGGGAGAAGGCACGCUGGUGUGUAGGUGAAGUCCCUGCGGAUGGAGCUGAGACCAGUCGAAGAUACCAGCUGGCUGCAACUGUUUAUUAAAAACACAGCACUGUGCAAACACGAAAGUGGACGUAUACGGUGUGACGCCUGCCCGGUGCCGGAAGGUUAAUUGAUGGGGUUAUCCGUAAGGAGAAGCUCUUGAUCGAAGCCCCGGUAAACGGCGGCCGUAACUAUAACGGUCCUAAGGUAGCGAAAUUCCUUGUCGGGUAAGUUCCGACCUGCACGAAUGGCGUAAUGAUGGCCAGGCUGUCUCCACCCGAGACUCAGUGAAAUUGAACUCGCUGUGAAGAUGCAGUGUACCCGCGGCAAGACGGAAAGACCCCGUGAACCUUUACUAUAGCUUGACACUGAACAUUGAGCCUUGAUGUGUAGGAUAGGUGGGAGGCUUUGAAGCGUGGACGCCAGUCUGCGUGGAGCCAACCUUGAAAUACCACCCUUUAAUGUUUGAUGUUCUAACGUUGGCCCCUGACCGGGGUUGCGGACAGUGUCUGGUGGGUAGUUUGACUGGGGCGGUCUCCUCCCAAAGCGUAACGGAGGAGCACGAAGGUUAGCUAAUCCUGGUCGGACAUCAGGAGGUUAGUGCAAUGGCAUAAGCUAGCUUGACUGCGAGCGUGACGGCGCGAGCAGGUGCGAAAGCAGGUCAUAGUGAUCCGGUGGUUCUGAAUGGAAGGGCCAUCGCUCAACGGAUAAAAGGUACUCCGGGGAUAACAGGCUGAUACCGCCCAAGAGUUCAUAUCGACGGCGGUGUUUGGCACCUCGAUGUCGGCUCAUCACAUCCUGGGGCUGAAGUAGGUCCCAAGGGUAUGGCUGUUCGCCAUUUAAAGUGGUACGCGAGCUGGGUUUAGAACGUCGUGAGACAGUUCGGUCCCUAUCUGCCGUGGGCGCUGGAGAAUUGAGGGGGGCUGCUCCUAGUACGAGAGGACCGGAGUGGACGCAUCACUGGUGUUCGGGUUGUCAUGCCAAUGGCACUGCCCGGUAGCUAAAUGCGGAAGAGAUAAGUGCUGAAAGCAUCUAAGCACGAAACUUGCCCCGAGAUGAGUUCUCCCUGAGACUAUAAGUCUCCUGAAGGAACGUUGAAGACGACGACGUUGAUAGGCCGGGUGUGUAAGCGCAGCGAUGCGUUGAGCUAACCGGUACUAAUGAACCGUGAGGCUUAACCUUACAACGCCGAAG
rnacentral:rRNA from 1 species